rnacentral:rRNA from 1 species
GAUGAACGCUGGCGGCGUGCUUAACACAUGCAAGUCGAACGGAAAGGCCCAAGCUUGCUUGGGUACUCGAGUGGCGAACGGGUGAGUAACACGUGGGUGAUCUGCCCUGCACUUCGGGAUAAGCCUGGGAAACUGGGUCUAAUACCGGAUAGGACCACUUCUUGGAUGUUGUGGUGGGAAGUUUUUUCGGUGUGGGAUGAGCUCGCGGCCUAUCAGCUUGUUGGUGGGGUAAUGGCCUACCAAGGCGUCGACGGGUAGCCGGCCUGAGAGGGUGUACGGCCACAUUGGGACUGAGAUACGGCCCAGACUCCUACGGGAGGCAGCAGUGGGGAAUAUUGCACAAUGGGCGCAAGCCUGAUGCAGCGACGCCGCGUGGGGGAUGACGGCCUUCGGGUUGUAAACUCCUUUCGCUAGGGACGAAGCGUUUUUGUGACGGUACCUGGAGAAGAAGCACCGGCUAACUACGUG